GUUUUGUGGUGGUUUCUGGCUGUAGGCCGGUCAAAGUGUUUACAACAUUUUGUUAUGUUUGUAAUAUACGUAAUGUGUUCCUUGUUUGUGGGACACGUGACGAGGGUGUGUUUUGCUGAUGCGAGAUGUAGAGGGGAGCGCCUCCACAUGUGCGCUGACCUUUGGGUCUUGGUCCUGUUUGUUUGUGUUGUAUCGGUUGGUUUCCAGCUCUUGUGUAGCUGAGAAAGACGCGGAAUGCGUUGCUGAAUGGAAUCUUUUGACUGCUGGAGGGCUUCUGAGUGUAUUAAUUUUAAUCUGUUUAUGCAUUUUAACAUAUGUACACAUACAUAUGCUUGAGGAAUUAGGCACUACAUUUAUUUUCCAACCAUUCAAUGAUGAUGAGAUUCAGUCAACCAGGG
rnacentral:lncRNA from 1 species